UGAACUACACUUCUCAUGGUGGGUCUUAGGGAUGGAAGCCUUGCAGUACAGAGGAUUGCAAUUCUCAAUACCUUGACAGCAUCUUGCUUGAAAACUUCUGGAAUUCUGGAGUCUACAAUGCUAAACAACGUCUGUUUACUCUUCAAGUUGCUGGAAACCCAAUCUACUAUAUCUUUGUUGUCUCCGUACUCCGGCUCUAUUGGCCUCUUUCCACUCACCAGCUCUAUUAACACCACUCCAAAGCUAUAAACAUCACUCUUCUC
rnacentral:misc_RNA from 1 species